AUGCAAGUGCAGACACAAAGCCCUCCUCCAGCCAGCUCCCAUUGGCUGUUUCACGUGUCAUCUGUUUCCACUGGUGGAUGCCUUUGCUGGAGUGGCUGCUAAGUGUCUUGGAUGUUACACUUGGUUUCGUGACUUGCCAGGGACACAGGACUGCAAGCUGAAACCGGAAGCUACGCUUUCUAUCUCUCUGCCACCUCUGAGUAGUGAGUCCGGAGACCAGCAAGCCUGAGGCAGCUACUCUGCUAGUCAACUCGCUGACUGACACAGGCCCUGCCUGUCCUCCUUGCUGCGUGCUGACCCUGCAUGGAGGCCAGUGCUCCCUAACCCUGCUCCGCUCCACUCCUAAAGGACUAGGGAAUCUUUGGUUGUAACAGCCUAACGGUCUGUCUCCCCAGAGGACAGUGGGACCACCUCCACCAUUGUUCUGGAGUGAAGCAAAGACUAUAUCAAGUGUCUGGAUAAAUACAUGGAUGACAGACAAGAGAGUUCAGACCCACUUCUUGGAGCCCUGAAGGGUCAGGGUUGGGAUCUGAACACUGAUCUGGGAGGAUCCAGAAGUCUGUCCCUCCUGAUCUGAGUGUUUGGAAUUAAAAUUUGGACCGGGGA